ACAUGAAUCUUAGUAAAUUAAUAACUCCUAUUAAAUUUAUUUAUAUGGUGGCACAAAAUCGGAAGCCCCGACUGUUUACUAAAAACACAACUAUCUGCAAUUAUGAAAAUAAUAGUAUAGGUAGUGAGAUUUGCCCAAUGUCAUAAUAAUAAGUAAUAAUAAUGGGUAACUGUUUCUUUACAAAAAUUUGGUUAAUAGCGGUCUUAACUAUGAGGAUCCUAAGGUAGCAAAAUAAAUUGGCCAUUAAAUGUGGUCCAGUAUCAAUAAUUUAACGAUGGCUUCACUGUCUCUACAACUUGCUCAGUGAAAUUGAAUUACCCGUGCAGAUGCGGGUUACCUCAAAGAGGACGGGAAGACCCUAUGCACUUCUACUAAA
rnacentral:rRNA from 1 species